AUGUUGCCUCAUGUUGUCUCAUGUUGUCUCAUGUUGUCUCGUGUUGUCUCGUGUUGUCUCGUGUUGUCUCAUGUUGUCUCAUGUUGUCUCAUGUUGUCUCAUGUUGUCUCAUGUUGCCUCAUGUUGUCUCGUGUUGUCUCGUGUUGUCUCGUGUUGUCUCGUGUUGUCUCGUGUUGUCUCAUGUUGUCUCAUGUUGUCUCGUGUUGUCUCGUGUUGUCUCGUGUUGUCUCGUGUUGUCUCGUGUGUCUCAUGUUGUCUCAUGUUGUCUCAUGUUGUCUCGUGUUGUCUCGUGUUGUCUCGUGUUGUCUCGUGUUGUCUCAUGUUGUCUCAUGUUGUCUCGUGUUGUCUCGUGUUGUCUCGUGUUGUCUCGUGUUGUCUCGUGUUGUCUCGUGUUGUCUCGUGUUGUCUCAUGUUGUCUCGUGUUGUCUCGUGUUGUCUCGUGUUGUCUCGUGUUGUCUCGUGUUGUCUCGUGUUGUCUCGUGUUGUCUCGUGUUGUCUCGUGUUGUCUCGUGUUGUCUCGUGUUGUCUCGUGUUGUCUCGUGUUGUCUCGUGUUGUCUCGUGUUGUCUCGUGUUGUCUCGUGUUGUCUCGUGUUGUCUCGUGUUGUCUCGUGUUGUCUCGUGUUGUCUCGUGUUGUCUCGUGUUGUCUCGUGUUGUCUCGUGUUGUCUCGUGUUGUCUCGUGUUGUCUCGUGUUGUCUCGUGUUGUCUCGUGUUGUCUCGUGUUGUCUCGUGUUGUCUCGUGUUGUCUCGUGUUGUCUCGUGUUGUCUCGUGUUGUCUCGUGUUGUCUCGUGUUGUCUCGUGUUGUCUCGUGUUGUCUCGUGUUGUCUCGUGUUGUCUCGUGUUGUCUCGUGUUUGUCUCGUGUUGUCUCGUGUUGUCUCGUGUUGUCUCGUGUUGUCUCGUGUUGUCUCGUGUUGUCUCAUGUUGUCUCAUGUUGUCUCAUGUUGUCUCAUGUUGUCAGCCAGAGUCACAUUUGUUUAUUAUUCAAGCUGUAACACACAAUAAUAAUUUAGAUUCUGUAGGUUUUAAAGGACCAGAGAGUUCUGCUUCGUUUGGUCUUUUUUGCCAAGGAACAUCUGAGAUGGUGGUGUGA
rnacentral:lncRNA from 1 species